AACGUCUCUCCUAGUUCUUGGCAUUUUGACAUCUUACAGAGCCGUGAGUCUGAAAUAACAGUACUUUUGCGCUGUGUCACCUUACCUGUUUCACCUUUAGAAUCGUACGUACAAGCAAAGACACAUUUGACUAUCUACUGUGUCAACUGCGAGGAAUCGAAUCCAGGAUUUUAGCAUUAUGAACUGGCAGUUUAUUUUCACCAUCUGCAUCUGCGCAGCUGCGGGUUUUGCUCAAGGAUUGCCAAAUUACUCUAGACUUCAAACACGAAGUCUAAAGCUCUGCGGGUCACACCUGGCAGAAGCAUUAGCUUUAGUCUGUCACAGUUUCUAUUACAGUCCAUUGAAGAAGACUGGAAGCGAUUUAACUUCUGAAAAAGUUGGUUCAGAACCUAGGCCAGUCUUCGGAAAAGAUUUACUAGAUACGAAAAAAACGUUAUCGCUAUUAGGAAAACGUGAUGCUUUUUACCGGAAGAUGAGGGGGAUAACUGAUGAAUGUUGCAGGAAGGGAUGUAACGUUAUGGAGUUAGCCCUGUACUGUGGCAACGAAGCGUUCGAGUAGCUGUGGAUUGUGUUAGCACACCUUGUGGUAGAUACUGCCAAUGUUUCUGUUUUCUCUUGGGACACUUUUCACUUAAUGAGCUUUCCAUAUUUCUUUGUCUCUGUGGAGACUUGGCCCGAGUUUUAUAUUUUCUUCUAAAUACUGAAGACUGGUGUAAAGAAUCUAGUUACUUAGUAUGAGUACACAGUAUAACCCGCGAGAAAUGAAGCGACGCUAAUGUGUAAGAUACUCUGAUUGUUCAAUAAAAUUCCAUGUUUGUCUCCUCA